rnacentral:rRNA from 1 species
AACGAACGCUGGCGGCGUGGAUAAGACAUGCAAGUCGAACGGUGUAUCGGGUAGCAAUACUUGGUGCAUAGUGGCGAACGGGUGCGUAACACGUGGAUAACAUUCCGAAAAGCGGGGGAUAGCCUAGGGAAACUUGGAUUAAUACCGCAUGUGAUGAGGCGAGGCAUCUCGCUGAAUUUAAAGCUAGGGACCGCAAGGCCUGGCACUUUUCGAUUGGUCCGCGGCCUAUCAGCUAGUUGGUGAGGUAAAGGCUCACCAAGGCUACGACGGGUGGCUGGUCUCAGAGGACGACCAGCCACACUGGAACUGCGACACGGUCCAGACACCUACGGGUGGCAGCAGUCGAGAAUCUUUCACAAUGGGCGCAAGCCUGAUGGAGCGACGCCGCGUGGAGGAUAAGGUCUUCGGAUUGUAAACUCCUGUCAUGCAAGAGCAAGGCUUGUCCGUUAAUAGCGGGGAAGUUUGAUAGUAUUGCAAGAGGAAGAGACGGCUAACUCUGUGCCAGCCGCCGCCGUAAAAC